rnacentral:rRNA from 1 species
UACGUAGGGGGCAAGCGUUGUCCGGAAUCAUUGGGCGUAAAGCGCGUGUAGGCGGACUGGAAGGUCUGGUGUGAAAGCCCGGGGCUCAACCCCGGAGGGUCACUGGAAACCGACAGUCUUGAGUCCGGGAAGAGGAGAGUGGAAUUCCUGGUGUAGCGGUGGAAUGCGCAGAUAUCAGGAGGAACACCUAUGGCGAAGGCAGCUCUCUGGUACGUGACUGACGCUGAGACGCGAAAGCGUGGGUAGCAAACAGG